AUUGAACGCUGGCGGAAUGCUUUACACAUGCAAGUCGAACGGUAGAGGGGGCAACCCCUCGAGAGUGGCGAACGGGUGAGUAAUAUAUCGGAACGUGCCCAGUCGUGGGGGAUAACGUAGCGAAAGUUACGCUAAUACCGCAUACGAUCUAAGGAUGAAAGCGGGGGAUCGCAAGACCUCGCGCGAUUGGAGCGGCCGAUAUCAGAUUAGGUAGUUGGUGGGGUAAAGGCUCACCAAGCCAACGAUCUGUAGCAGGUCUGAGAGGACGACCAGCCACACUGGAACUGAGACACGGUCCAGACUCCGACGGGAGGCAGCAGUGGGGAAUUUUGGACAAUGGACGCAAGUCGGAUCCAGCCAUUCCGCGUGCAGGAUGAAGGCCCUCGGGUUGUAAACUGCUUUUGUACGGAACGAAAAGGUCUCUCUUAAUACGGGGGACUCAUGACGGUACCGUAAGAAUAAGCACCGGCUAACUACGUGCCAGCAGCCGCAGUAA
rnacentral:rRNA from 1 species